AGCGCGGAAUAACCCUGCGAAAGCAGAGCUAAUACCGCAUGCGGUUGUUAGAUGGCAUCUUUUAACAACUAAAGUCGCAAGACGCUCUCAGAUGGGCCCGCGGCCUAUUAGCUAGUUGGUGAGGUAACGGCCCACCAAGGCAUUGAUGGGUAGCUGGUCUGAGAGGACGGACAGCCACACUGGGACUGAGACACGGCCCAG
rnacentral:rRNA from 1 species